GAACGCACAUGGCGCCUUCCAGUAUCCUGGGAGGCAUGCCUGUCCGAGCGUCGUUUCAACCCUCGAGCCCCCGUGGCCCGGCGUUGGGGAUCUGCCACGGCAGGCCCCUAAAACCAGUGGCGGACCCGAAGGGCCCUCUCCUUUGCGCAGUAGCAUCAGCCUCGCAUCGGGAGUCCUCGGCGUCCUGCCUCUAAACCCCCUACAAGCCCGCCCCGGCGGCACCAAGGUUGACCUCGGAUCAGGUAGGAAUACCCGCUGAACUUAAG
rnacentral:misc_RNA from 1 species